CAAAAAAGCAGGGCCAAUAGUUAACCAAGCCAUAUAAACAUCUUAUGCCCUCAACUCAAUAAGAAACUAACCUACCACUUAACUCAAAAAUGAGU
rnacentral:rRNA from 1 species